rnacentral:rRNA from 1 species
GUGUCAGCAGCCGCGGUAAUACGGAGGGUGCAAGCGUUAUCCGGAUUCACUGGGUUUAAAGGGUGCGUAGGCGGGCAGGUAAGUCAGUGGUGAAAUCCUUGAGCUUAACUCGAGAACUGCCAUUGAUACUAUCUGUCUUGAAUAUUGUGGAGGUAAGCGGAAUAUGUCAUGUAGCGGUGAAAUGCUUAGAUAUGACAUAGAACACCUAUUGCGAAGGCAGCUUACUACGCAUAUAUUGACGCUGAGGCACGAAAGCGUGGGGAUCAAACAGGAUUAGAUACCCUGGUAGUCC